rnacentral:lncRNA from 1 species
AGAUAGCGUGCUCACAAAGCAGUCGGUCCCACCUGCCCGAGGCUGAGCUGUAUUGUCACAUCGACGUCGCUUUUGUCUAAUCAAAAGGAAAUCUUAAUUCAACAGCUACCACUCAUUUCACCUCAGACUUUUUGUAUUUUCCCCUACUUCACUGCCACGUGUCGGUCGACUUACUGAACUCCUCUUUUCAACUUUAGAAAAACGUACAGCCGAGUUUUGAAAAUCAAUACAAAUUUCUCACGACAACUUUCUCUUGAAAAAUAUCAUCUCGUUUGAUAAGUGUUUUUAGUAAAAUGCUUUUAGAACUAAAUUUUAAUAAAAAUGUAAUUUAAUUUGAAAAAAAUACUUGAAGUACUUCUAAUAAGAAACAUAUACAGCUCGUUUAGAUGUGAUUUUAAAAUAAAAAUAACUGAAAACGUUUUUGGUGAAAAUAUUUUUAGAAUUAAUCUUUAGUAAAGAUGCAAGUAAAUCUUGAAAAAACACUUAAAAUGCUUAUCGGAAGGAUCACAUAACCGACACUUUAACUAUUUUUGGAACUCAAAAACCUUUUCUCUCAAAGCACUUUUAGUUAUUUUAAAAAUACAUCCAAAUGAGUCCAUAAUUGGUGCUUUUAGCAAGAAGCAUUUCAAGUGCUUUUGUGACACACCCUGAUCCGGAGGAUCCAGGUGUGCUGGCCGUCACGUGGGCGUGACGUAACCAUAAGCACGACACGGAAGCGUAAUAACAACAUAUAACAACAGAAAUUCAACCCAAACUCAACAUAACCACAUACGGACAUAACCGGACGAGUUACAAGUAAACACAUAAGUUCAGAGCAUAGGUUAACUGCAGUCAAGUAGGACUAAAAUAAGAAUACAUCACCCUCAGGUGAGUCCUACAUGUCCCAAAUCUGUCAGAAAGCCGGAAAGGACCUCGUGAGCCAACCACCGUUAAACUAGAACCUGGAGGGGCGCAAAACAAAAUGAGUGGGUCAGUAAAACAAAUUAGUUUUCCAAAACAUUUCAUUAAAACAGUUAUAUCCCCUCGCCGUAAAAACCUGUAUACUUUCCCAGAAAUUAUAUAACCAUAUAAAGUCUCAACAUUUAAAUCUCAAAUCUUUAACAUUUUCAAGAAAACAUGCCAUGCCAUAAAUCAAAAUAUAAAUCAGGUGAAUAAGGAAUCAAUCGGAGACCCUGCAGUUGGUCCUAUACGAUUAAUUCAAUAGCUCAAAUCCCACUAAGCCGGAGUCACCACAGUGACCUAUACGGCCCUACUCUGCACAUCACUCACUCGGAACUACGUAAGGUAGUCUAUACGAUGAAAGGUGUAAAAAUACGCUCUAGUGCUUCUCUCAUCAUAUCAUCAGCGCGCAUAACUAAGGUCACCCACUAGUCGGAAUCACGCCUAGUGAUCUGUACGACUAGCAUGUCGGAACCCUCACAUGGUCUGUACGACAUCCCACCUACUUGGAUCCAAGACGAGCGUGCGGUGUGGUGAAUAAUAUAAGCACUAACACCUAGGGUGCAGAUUAUGAGCUCAACUCAUCUCAACAACAACAAUUCAACGAAUAAAUGAACUCACCUGACUUACCUGUGCCUCCACAGCACCAUGCAACAUGUAUGCAUUCAUCAUCAUAUCAUUCAAUCAUAUAGUUUCAUAUGAAAUUCACAUUUUCCAAAUAAUUCUAUGCAUGGCAUUUUCAAAACAUAUAAUUCGCGCAUAAAAGCAUUUUUCUGGGAAAAACAAUAGUAUAUAGGUAAUACGAAAACAAAAACUGCCCACUCACUGAUAAGUCGACGGGUCGUAACCCCCGUGGCGUCCCUGGAUGCGGUCGUCCUCGGGAUACGUCUCACCUAUAUGCGAAACAACUAUAAAAAACAUUAAUUUUUAAGCACAUCACCAAUAAUUCGAAAAUAACUUCUCAUACGAUGCUCAAUUUUGGUAUAUGAAUAUACCACAUCGACCUACUCGACGUCACGAGCGUCGGGAAAUUUUAGAAAAAUUUUUGGAAGCCCCACGCGCCCCCCACGCGCCACACGUGGCACGGGUCCACGCGCUGGCCACGCGCAGCACGUGCAGCGCACGUGUCGUCUUCUUCGCAGGUCUCGCCGGACUGGUUCUCCGGUGGCCGGACUCCGGCCGAACUCCGGCCGAUUUUCAAACUCACUAUUCUCCUUCGUUUUUCACCCAUUUUCUUCGUAUUUUAUACCAAAUUGAAGCCCUAAGAGUGUACUAUCACGUUGGACUAGUUUUAGGGCCUAAAAACUACGAAAUCUCACCUUGCAAAAACCAAAGAUUCGGCCAAACUUGAAACCUACGAUCCCGACGUCCAAAACUCUCCAACGAACGUCCCCGAGCUUCCUUAGAACCUCCUAAAGCUCACCACAAGCUUGAAAUCUC